rfam:Polysphondylium pallidum PN500 unplaced genomic scaffold PPL_scaffold10, whole genome shotgun sequence.
GCCCAGUUAGCUCAGUCGGUAGAGCGCAAGGCUUUUAACCUUGUGGUCGGGGGUUCGAGCCCCCCAUUGGGCG